GAAAACGCAUCAUUCCAACACUUUUUAAAGAGAAGCAGUCAUUUGACUUCCACAUACCACACAGUGACCUCAGUUUUGAUCCCUGGUAGGGAGCAGCAGGAUUCACAUUGCCUGAAGCUUCUAUUGUGCUGACUCUCCUAUAGCCAUCUGACCAGAAGGUUUGCCAAAUCCCAGCCUAGGAGAUUGUUAACAUUCCACUUGGCUUUGCUGCUUGCACCAGGGGAUGGUGUCUCGAAAGCCCUCUACACUCAUCUGGAGGAUUUGGAAUUGUGAUCCUAUUGUCUCCAUCAAAGGAAAAUAAGCAAACUGAAGUGCUAGCCCACCAGCUCUGUCCAGUCCCAACAAGCAAGGGCCUUCCUCUGAUGUCAGAGACCUCAGGUUGCAAGAAAUGCGAAGGGAUUCGAAGGGGCAUGCUACAACCUAAAUGGAAUUCCUUUAAAAAGCACUGUGCAGCAGAAAAGACAAGUAUAGUGGCUAUUUAAUCAUCUUCACUAUGAAGUGCCAAUUCUUUAGAGUCUUAUGACAUUCAUGAAUGAUGCAGGAGGCGGACAUGAUGAAUGCAGAGCAAUUCCCUGCGACAGAUACUUUCAGGGAAUUUAUGCCCCCUCCCCCAAGAACAAAAGGGCUCCUGGGCUCAGUUAUCAUUUGUUCUGCGAGAGAAUUUACAGUCUUUCCAGCAACUCCUUUUACCCUACUCAAUAAAGCGC
rnacentral:lncRNA from 1 species